UACGGGGGGAGCAAGCGUUGUUCGGAUUUAUUGGGCGUAAAGAGCUCGUAGGCGGCUUGUCGCGUCGAAUGUGAAAACUCGGGGCUCAACUCCGAGCUUGCAUUCGAUACGGGCAGGCUAGAGUUCGGUAGGGGAGACUGGAAUUCCUGGUGUAGCGGUGAAAUGCGCAGAUAUCAGGAGGAACACCGGUGGCGAAGGCGGGUCUCUGGGCCGAUGACUGACGCUGAGGAGCGAAAGCGUGGGGAGCGAACAGG
rnacentral:rRNA from 1 species